AAGACUAUACUUUCAGGGAUCAUUUCUAUAAUAUGUAAGUAGAGAAGUUUCUCUGAUCAUGUAGAGUACCCGAAGCCACGGAGAGGAGACAGAGUGUCCUCAUCUGAGCAUGAAACCAGCUCUAAGUGUUGUUUCUGAGACUGCCUUUGGCCAUAGAUGAUCGUUCUUCCCUUCCUUUGGAAGGGGCAGAGGGAGAGAAUGCAGUCUGAGUGGU